rnacentral:rRNA from 1 species
UACGUAGGGUGCGAGCGUUAAUCGGAAUUACUGGGCGUAAAGCGUGCGCAGGCGGUUCGUUGUGUCGGCGGUGAAAGCCCCGGGCUUAACCUGGGAAUGGCCGUCGAAACUGGCGAACUGGAGUGUGGCAGAGGGGGGUGGAAUUCCGCGUGUAGCAGUGAAAUGCGCAGAUAUCAGGAGGAACACCGGUGGCGAAGGCGGAUCUCUGGGCCAUUACUGACGCUGAGGAGCGAAAGCGUGGGGAGCGAACAGG